rnacentral:rRNA from 1 species
GACGAACCGUGCGAACGUUAUUCGGAAUCACUGGGCUUAAAGCGCGUGUAGGCGGGCCGGCACGUCGGCCGCUGAAAGCCCCCGGCUCAACCGGGGAAGCGGCGCCGAUACGACCGGCCUGGAGGGGGGUAGGGGGAGCCGGAACUCACGGUGGAGCGGUGAAAUGCGUUGAGAUCGCGAGGAACGCCCGUGGCGAAAGCGGGCUCCUGGGCCCCGCCUGACGCUGAGACGCGAAAGCCAGGGGAGCGAACGGG